CCUACGGGUGGCAGCAGUCGAGAAUCAUUCACAAUGGGGGAAACCCUGAUGGUGCGACGCCGCGUGGGGGAAUGAAGGUCUUCGGAUUGUAAACCCCUGUCAUGUGGGAGCAAAGUAAAAAGAUAGUACCACAAGAGGAAGAGACGGCUAACUCUGUGCCAGCAGCCGCGGUAAUACAGAGGUCUCAAGCGUUGUUCGGAAUCACUGGGCGUAAAGCGUGCGUAGGCUGUUUCGUAAGUCGUGUGUGAAAGGCGCGGGCUCAACCCGCGGACGGCACAUGAUACUGCGAGACUAGAGUGAUGGAGGGGGAACCGGAAUUCUCGGUGUAGCAGUGAAAUGCGUAGAUAUCGGGAGGAACACUCGUGGCGAAGGCGGGUUCCUGGACAUUAACUGACGCUGAGGCACGAAGGCCAGGGGAGCGAAAGGGAUUAGAUACCCCAGUAGUC
rnacentral:rRNA from 1 species